rnacentral:rRNA from 1 species
GACGAACGCUGGCGGCGUGCCUAAUACAUGCAAGUAGAACGCUGAAGGAGGAGCUUGCUCUUCUGGAUGAGUUGCGAACGGGUGAGUAACGCGUAGGUAACCUGCCUGGUAGCGGGGGAUAACUAUUGGAAACGAUAGCUAAUACCGCAUAAGAGUAGAUGUUGCAUGACAUUUACUUAAAAGGUGCAAUUGCAUCACUACCAGAUGGACCUGCGUUGUAUUAGAUAGUUGGUGGGGUAACGGCUUACCAAGGCGACGAUACAUAGCCGACCUGAGAGGGUGAUCGGCCACACUGGGACUGAGACACGGCCCAGACUCCUACGGGAGGCAGCAGUAGGGAAUCUUCGGCAAUGGACGGAAGUCUGACCGAGCAACGCCGCGUGAGUGAAGAAGGUUUUCGGAUCGUAAAGCUCUGUUGUAAGAGAAGAACGAGUGUGAGAGUGGAAAGUUCACACUGUGACGGUAUCUUACCAGAAAGGGACGGCUAACUACGUG